rnacentral:rRNA from 2 species
UACGGAGGGUGCAAGCGUUAUCCGGAUUCACUGGGUUUAAAGGGUGCGUAGGAGGGCAGGUAAGUCAGUGGUGAAAUCUCCGAGCUUAACUUGGAAACUGCCAUUGAUACUAUCUGUCUUGAAUAUUGUGGAGGUGAGCGGAAUAUGUCAUGUAGCGGUGAAAUGCUUAGAUAUGACAUAGAACACCAAUUGCGAAGGCAGCUCGCUACACAUAUAUUGACUCUGAGGCACGAAAGCGUGGGGAUCAAACAGG